GUGCCUCGCCCACUAUAUAUACCCAACCGUACAUUGCUUCAACUUCAAUUUGAUCCCAUUUACACAAUCCCUAAUUUAACAGUCAUUUUCUUGAUUUCUUGGCCAAUUUGAUCCGUUAUAGUUUCUGGGUAGUGAUUGCUUCACUGAUUUACAAUCCGUCCCUGAACAAUUCAUUUUCUUGGCGUCUUUGCCUAUUUGAUCUGUUUUAGCUUCUGGGUAUUGCUCGGUUCACUGAACAAUUCAUUUUCUUGGUCUUGACCAAUUUGAUCCAUUUUAGCUUCCGAGUCUUGUUUGGUUAGUUGAUUUUCACAUGGCCAUGAACGCUCUCGCCGCCACAAACCGCAAUUUUCGCCACGCGGCUCGCAUUCUUGGGUUGGACUCU
rnacentral:lncRNA from 1 species